AAAGAGGGCGAGUAAUUGGUUCAAGGCUCAAGCAAAUAAGAGGAAAUGCGAACAGAAGGGCUAACCGAGCCAUCAAAUGUGCCUCAAGAUUAGCAUCGUUCAGAAGGGACAUGCGUUAAAGGUGGAUUUUGCUUGAAAACAAACGCCACGAUGACUCUGAUUCCAUUGCUGUGAAGAGACAACAUAACCACCGCAACUCUUAUAAAAGAAAGCAUUGAAUUGAGGAUGGCUUACAGUUCAGAGGUUCAGACCAUUGUCAUCAUGUUGGGGAAGCAUGGGAACAUGCAGGCGGACAUGGAGCUGGGGAGUAGCUGAGUGUUCUACAUCGGGAUCAGCAGGCAACAGGGACAGUAAGAGGUAUGUCAAGAUGGUACUCAACUGUAAGAAGUGGGAGAGGAGGAAAGAGAGCCCUUCACGUGUGUCAAGAGAGUAUUCAAGGGGAGAGAAAAAUUACUGGAGAUCCCUACCCUAGGAGUCAGCUUUCAUCAAGGAAGAAACUCCUCUCCUAAGCCACUUCUAGCUGCUGCAGUGCUGUGACUUGACCUGUCUGCGAACGUCACAAGGAGAGACUGAACAAGAAGUGUGUGAACGGAAUGAGAGGUUUGUUAAUUCCUGCAAGUUGGUCACUGUGGUGGACACCUGCAUCAAUGAACCAUCUUGUGCCCUGUCUAUAUAUAGUCCAUCGCUGGCAUUUGAUGGCAGACUUGACUUCUAAUUGACAUGCAGAUAUGAUACCCUGGUAGGAGAAACUAUAUCUUCAAACUGAAUUCUGAGCUUCUCCCGCCAAUGUGCAGUUGUCAAAUCGGGUGCUGAACUUUGCCUCCCCUAUCCCCUUCAGGCCAGAGUGUUAUAGAGCUUUUAAGCCUGAAAACCACAGACAUCUGUGCUAAGCUGUAGUUACAUUUUUCUACCAGUCAGGAUUCAGGGCUAGGGGCCUUCACUGGGAACAUUUCUCUGUGUGGCACAUUUAUCCUGUUCUCAUUGGUUGGUUGAUACCGCUGUGGAGGGGAGACUUGCCUAGUAUUCCUAUGUCUGCCAAGGAGGAUGUCAGCUACAGCAGGGGGGUCUUGGGAACUUAAAUUUUAUUUGACCCCUAUUCAAAAUGGAAGUUUUAUUCAAAAUGGCUUCAUCUUGGUUCCUUCUUACACAGUAUCACACGGUAAGGGCGAGCUUCUGUUCCUAGUGUACCAGUCAUGUGAACGCAGGCAAAAGAAGCUGACACAGUAGACAUGGCUUCAGUCUUGAGGUGGUUUCACCAUUUUCCAAUUAUCUGAUGGUGUGAAGGUUGCACUUUAUUUUUACCCACAGUAAACAUAUGCUAAUGAUGAGCACAGAGACUUAUUGAAUAAACAACCUCUUGUGUAGUAUCCAAUAAUGUAAUGAGGUAGUCAACAUUUUUAUGUUCUAAAAUAGCCUUUGUGUUAGCGGUCUCAGCCCAAACCUCAGGCUUCUUUGAGUUGCGUGCACAUGAGCGGUGAUGGUUGAUAGCGUAGGUAUGUUAAAUAUGUCUUUGAUUUAGGAAGUAUUCAACUUGUGAUGGAUGUUUCAGGACAUAGCCAUUGUAUGUAAGUUGUGAGACGGGUAUACGCAACUGCUGUC
rnacentral:lncRNA from 1 species